rnacentral:sRNA from 1 species
AAGAAAGAAGGAAGACAAAGAAAGAAAGGAAAUAAACCUGAAAAUUACAUCAAGGGAAAAUGAUGCAUGAAGUUAUUGAAUGCUUAGUGUUACAGAUGCUGUUCCCAUGGAGAUCAUUCCCAGCAACGGCACAGUCUCACCCAAGAAACGGACUCUGACUUGAGUCCUUAUCUUACUUUUGUUCAUGAGAAGAAUUUGAAUGGCAUGUGCCAACAGAUGUGGUUUGAAGCAGCCAGAAGACACACCAAACAAAUUCAACUUCUUCCAGGUCUACGACGAGCACUGGCCUUUUGCCUCAGGACUCUUGUGCUUUCCCCUCUGCCUCUUGCCAAUAUGCUGGAUCUUUUCCACCAAAAUAACCCACACUGAAUAAAGCAAAAUUGUAGAUCCAGAGGCAGGACACUUCUGUCAGCACCCUGCACAGAAAAGUGUCCUUACCUAGUUCUGGAGUUGCGCUGUAAUACACAAAGGAACUGGAUAUUGGGUCUUCAGCAACCCACUCAUGUGUUGCGGAUGGAUGGAACCUGGGGCUCCAUACCACUAAAAUGAACUCUUGCAAGUAGGUCCAUACUAUUGGGGGAAAAAUCCUGCUGGAAGAUAAUGCAUCUGUACCCGUGAAACUGAGACUAUAUGCUGAUGAGAACUUGAGCUGCUCUGUCGGAACAUGGUCCAACAAUGGCGUUGUGGUAGGACAAUUCCGAGUGCUUGUGAGAAAACUCCAAGAAACCAAGACAAAAGUCUUGCCACCUGUUACUUCCAAAACAUGGAAUUGUUCUUGGAUUAUGCUUUCAUGGCCCUCUAAGCCCCAUCUACAGAGAUUUACCACCUGUGAUCAUCACAUAGAAAGAGAAUCCUUAAGACUCUUUGCUACUCAUGAUCUUGAGAAACAGGAAGAUUCUACUAAAAAUACCCUGAGGUGCUGGAGCACAAGCCUGGGAAACAUAAGAAAGUUUGGGUAUCAGCAAGGAGACACCAGUGUGUAAAGGCAUCACCACAUGAAUGGAGCUACAAGAGAUGGCAAAUUCCAGUACGUUUCAGGAAGGAGCUGAGUCAAUGUUUCAUGUGCAGUUACACAUACAGGCUGACUUUUCACAUCCAGAAAUGAUCUAAAUAUGCUUCGUGGGAUUCAAAAUCAGCAUCAGCUCCUCUUAGCAAAAAUCGCUUUCAUCUCUCCAAGAGCUGCUUCUGUGGAAUGUGUGGUCAUUCUUUGCUAGAAGGCAUUUGGGGAAGCCACAUCAGCCUAAAUUCUCAUGAGAAUUCCUCUUGCCUGUCAGAUACUUUAUCUUCAAAGAAUGGCACUUGACUGUUACGGGAUCCCUCCAUCCUCCAUGACAAAAUGAGAAAGUAUACAUUGGUGUUUCAACUGCUUCAGUUAUUGAGGUGACAUUUUGUACCAUGUGAUGGGAUAGGAAUGUCAUCAUGUUUCAUCUGUAUUUGUGAAAUAAAAUGUGCAACCCUCAUUUUCACUGAAAAGACAGCAGCCCAAAUUUCUGCCCUCUCACUCAAAGAGGGAAAACAUUCUGACUUAAAUUUCUUGAGGGGAUGGUGACUGAACAUUUUAAAGAUGGAUAUUGUUAUGGUUGUUGGAUGGAUUUGUUUAUAGUUUAGCAACAUUUGAUCUCUAUCUCCAGGAGAUGGUGGUAGCCAUUAACCAGAUAGUUUUCCUACUAGGUCAUUAUAAAACAGAUCAGAUUAGAGACUUGUACUCUAUACAUUAUUGGUCAAAUUCCUCUCAUUUCCAAACAUAGCCAAAACAUAAGAACAGCAAUUAUCAAGGUGUUCUAGGGAGACAAUUUUCCCAUAGGUACCUUAAACCAUCACUAGAACAAAGGGCAAAAAGUAAAGUUAAGCACCUAAGACUUAUUGCCACUAAGAACUUACUUUCCCUUCUGUUGAUGUACCAGGCAUUGCACUGAGUAUUUUACCCAUUCAUUUAUUUAGAUUUGGUUAUCUAUUCUGUGAGCAUGGGUAUUUUUGCUUACAUAUAUUUUGUGUACCACAUGCAUGCCUGGUGUUCACGGAAAGCAGAAAGGACAUGGAAUUUACUGAAACUGGAGUUAUAAGUGGUUGGAAGCCACCCAUGUAGGUACAAGGAACCAGGUCACCUAUUUAAGUGUGAGAGCAGUCAUGCUCAACUGCUGACCCAUCUCUCUAGCCACCCGUUCUUUCCCUUUAAACUGAUAACUCAGAACUAAGAAUUUCUGAGAGGCAAUUAAUUUCUGCAGAGGUAAACUUACAGGUCUCCAGCAUUUAAAAGCAGAUGAGUCCUGCAAUCUAAGAAGUGUUUAUUGAAAUGCCUUACAAAGAACAAUGGGGAAUGGCAUUUAACUAGCACAGACUACAGCAUAGGCUUUUUACAGAGAUAGUGUCUUGAUGUCUAGAGUCACUUAGAAAAUAGAUCUUCAUGUUCCACGGGUGAGAAACAGGAGGAUAAAGAGAUUAAAUCAACCAACACCACAAAUGAAAUCAAUAGCAAUGAUGAGAUUUAAACCCUUGAGCCUAACUCCAAACCCUAAUACAAUCUGCCUCAGAAGGCUGCCUAUCAGUUGUAUGAAACUGUGGACCCUGUACAAUGAAUGGCCUCUGUUUCUCAUGGCUCAUGUUCUGUGUUGUAUCUCAAUGUGUACAGACAUGACUAAUAUAAGACUGAAGACAGAACUACUUCAAAUGUGUUCUUAAAAUGUGUAUUUGAGUCCUUUGGGGAGCAAUACUUCUUUUAGUUUCUUCAAUUUGUAGAGGACCGUUGUCAUCUUAUUCCUGGCCCCUAUAGUUUAUUGUACCAGACUGCUAAGCCUGGAAAAAAGAACUGGGCAUGUGCAGAUCAUCCCAGGAGUCCUUUUCCCAUUGGAAGAUAUCGUGAUCAGGAAGAGCCUGUGUGUUUUAUGCUGCACCCCGAUUCUAUGGUUCUUAGCCACCACUGUCUCUGCACGUAACAGAAGUAUGAAUAGAAGUCCAAUUUUCAAGUUCAGAGUAUGAAUGCUCACUUGAUCGCAAGCAGCAUCCCCACAUUUUUAUAUCAGUUCUAUCAACAACAAAAGUGAUACUUCAACUUUAUUUCUGUCUGGCUUUCUCCUUUACCUUCUGUCUGUUGAUUUGAGUUAUAGAGAAAGGUACUAAUUAUUGAAUUCUUUCUAUCGCAGUAGCAACCAUAUGUGUCACAGAAGCCAGAGCAAAUGAAGUUCAAUGUUAAAAGAAAACUUGUUGCAAAUUGGGAGUUCUGAGUUAGAACUUGAAAAACGUGUUGCUAUCAGAAAGAGAUGCCUUCUUAUGCACUAUAUACCAUGAGUCAAAACCCUGUCCCCAGCAGGCCCCAAAUUACCCAUGAUAUGAGGAAUGGCUGAUGAGAACUGGAAUAAAACACAUCCCCAUCUAUUGAAGGUACGUCCAGGUGAAUGUCCACUCAUCGUCAGGGAGCCAGGUUCCUGUAGCAUCUAAAAAAGGGAGACAACGAGUAUUUGCUUUGGGAAACAGGACUGAUUUUCUCUUCUGCAGCAUAUCAGCUUCCUGAACUUACUGACCUGUAACCAUCUACACAUUUGUCCUUCCAUUCCCUCUAACACCUUUGUCAGCAGUUCCCUGUGACAAACUGUUUCUCUUAAAGUACCUAGAAAGCAAUUGUUUUCCUAAGACAGAACUGCCUUCAUAGAAUUCUAAGAAGAUGGAAUCAUUUUCAGUCAUAUCCUGGAAGUAAAUCUCUGGAAGGUGUCUGUCUGUCUUUG